rnacentral:lncRNA from 1 species
GAAAAACAAAAGAAAAGCAGAAAAAAUUGAGAGGUAAGUCUUUUUCCUACAUAGAUUGUCAUUUUUUUUCCUUUUUUCUUUUUUUUCUUUUCUUUUCAUUAUCGUUUCCAUAGAUCUGUGGGAAAGAAGAGCACUGGAGAGAGAUAAGAGAGGUUUUCCAGGUUUCGAUUGGGUUUUUUUCCUUGAGUACAUGGGAUUCUAUCCAAGUUAUGGCGGUGUGAGUUGGUUCCUUGAGGUUUUGAGAGCUUAAUCUUGGU